rnacentral:misc_RNA from 1 species
AAGUCGUAACAAGGUCUCCGUAGGUGAACCUGCGGAGGGAUCAUUAACGAAUGGUCUCCGUACCUUCAAACCCCUUCAAACCAGUGGACAUUUGAAAAUGUGCUUCGGCGCUUUUGCGCCGCCUUUAUGCUGUUAACCUGUCAUUUGUGUCUGAAUGUAAACCAAAAGAAUCAAAACUUUCAACAAAGGAUCUCUUGGCUCUC